GGGCGAUUAGCUCAGUUGGGAGAACACCUGCCUUACAAUCUGGGGUCACUGGUUCGAACCCAGUAUCGCCCACCA
rnacentral:tRNA from 1 species